rnacentral:rRNA from 1 species
GAUGAACGCUGGCGGCGUGCUUAACACAUGCAAGUCGAACGAAACACCUUAUUUGAUUUUCUUCGGAACUGAAGAUUUGGUGAUUGAGUGGCGGACGGGUGAGUAACGCGUGGGUAACCUGCCCUGUACAGGGGGAUAACAGUCAGAAAUGACUGCUAAUACCGCAUAAGACCACAGCACCGCAUGGUGCAGGGGUAAAAACUCCGGUGGUACAGGAUGGACCCGCGUCUGAUUAGCUGGUUGGUGAGGUAACGGCUCACCAAGGCGACGAUCAGUAGCCGGCUUGAGAGAGUGAACCCCCACAUCGGCACUGAGCAGCAGCACAAACUCCUACGGGAGGCAGCAGUGGGGGAUAUUGCACAAUCGCGGAAACCAUGAUGCAGCGACGCCGCGUGAGUGAAGAAGUAUUUGAGUAUCUAAAGCUCUAUCAGCAGGGCAGAAAAUGACGGUACCUGAUCAAGAAGCCCCGGCUAACUACGUG